UUUUUCUAUUUCAGUUAUAUUCCUCACGUUCAAUUCCCCUUUCCUAAACUGUCACUUUAACAAUUUUUUGUUAUGCCAUGUUUUCUAGAUUCCCUUAAAUAUGGCUUUUUGCUCUCCUCUUUUUCAUUCCCAGGUAAAACUCCUCUUUAUGUAGUUUAUAAUGCCUUUAUCUCCUCUUCUCUUCCCACUCGCCACCUAAAAUUCGUCUUCCUCUUCGGUGCCUUUUUCUCAAUUCUAGGUUAUCACAUAAAGAAAUCAAACAAUUCAUGCCAUAUACAGAAAUCAAAUAAUUUAGUUUUUCUUUCUGUGGGUCUUAGUAUGGUAAGCUGAAUCAUCUACAGGAUAAUGGAAGAAUUAGUUAUCUAAGGCUUAUUGGAGCAUAUUCAUAUUGUGUACGUUUCUAAAUCUCCAAAUCUAGCAGAUUAUUUUUUCCAGAGGACAAGAUCCAGGUGUGUUAGAGCGCAACGAUCGUUGAUUUCAGGCCGACUAUUUGUGGAGAUUGCAAGGUAGCUGCUAGCGUCCGCAGGACCUUGUUACUCCUUUUGUCAUCUCUUUUUUUGGACAGUUAGAUAGUUUAUAUUUCCUAGUUCAUAGUUUUAGACGCUCAUGACUUAGUGACACCCCGAUGUUUGGAACUCA